ensembl:lncRNA
ACACCCGGCCGCCACCAUUUCAACCAAUCACUGCUCCAACACACAGGCACCCAGGAGGUGUACUUCCUGUAUUUUUUUUUACGAGAAUGGAAUGGGGCUUCAGGCAGAAGAGGGUUUAGCACUCUACUUUGCCAUGGGGGGCCCACACAGGCAACCUCAUGGGUCGGGGUAACCGGGACUAAAGUACUGGAUAAGCUCGAUUUACGACAGAUCUGCCUAUUCAGUAACGGCCUCAGCGAGGACAAGGCAGAGAGAAGGAGGAGGGGAAAGAUAAGUGUCAAUCUGUUGAAACUUGUUUGGGAAUUUGAGAAAGGAGGGGAGGUGGGGCGAGCCUGAGAGCGAGGCAGCGAGAGGGAAAAACAAGGAGGGUUCAGGCGUAAACAUUACGCUUCUCACAAGAGUCAAAGUAUUGAGGGGAGAGGGAAGCUUUAAUUGAUUUAAAAAUGGAGGACAUUUGCUAUGUCAGCGGGACAAUGUGUAAACAGGGAACACAUUUUUGUGUGUUGUGCAAUCCCAUGCUUUUGAGUUGAACUGGACCCGGGGGGGGGGCAACAGACCUUCUCAGCAUACAACAUUCAGGCUCUCCAAAUUAUGCUACAAUGGGUACCAAAAGGCUUAGCUGGAACCCCUUUGAGACUUUAUCAAGCAAAGACAGUAGGCGAGAGGAAGACCGGAGGAGCGAGAGAGAGACGUUAAAAAUGAGGGACAAAGCCAGAAGCAAAGAAACGGACCCACGGGAUAGGUACUAUGGAAGGGAUCGAGCUCCUGCACUCCGGCCCAGAGAGGGAGAAAGAGAGUGGAGGGAGAGAGAAAGGAGGCAAGGAGAAGACAGAAGCAGGAACGGCAGGCUGCUGUCGAAUCUAGAG